CUUUGAUGAGCUUCCCUGGUAGACAGUAUUUCCAGAAAAGAGUGAGUUGAAAAGACACGAAGUGAAGCUGCUAUAUGACCAUCAAAUGAAACCUGUGACUUCAAUUAAGCAGAGAAAUUUGUACUGAGA